UGACAUCUCUUGCUGAAGGAAACAAGU
rnacentral:piRNA from 2 species